CUAAGCUGUGGGAAAUGGGAAAUUGCGUAAAAAUCUGGGUUGGGUGAUUUAAAAAAAAAGCAGGGGCUGGGCAUAGGCAGUAAUAUAAGGCAAGAUGGCUAAGGAAGAAGGUGGGCAGCGGAGCCGGUGAAGGAAGCCGCAGGCGCGGAUGGAGGCGAAGAGAUCAGGAGCAGUAAAGGAACACUCUCUUCCCCAGUCAGCUGGGAUACGGAUUUUGUAAGGCCUAGGGACUUUGUCUUUGGAGGUCCUGUCUCCAUAAGGCUUCCCAAAACAAAGAAUGUUCAGAUUGGACUGGCCUUAAAAUGCAGUAUUUAAAACAGCAACAUGUCUGACAGAUCCGAGAAAUGAAAUACGUCCAUUUCUUUUGGCAAGGAGCAGAAGGCAACAUAAAGCAGCUGCAAGAAUUAAUUCAUGGAGAUAGUUGACAUUUUCGAGCUGACUGCCUCUUAGAGAAAAUGAUGUCAUUCUCCAGCAGCCUAAUGACAGUCAUCAGCCUGAGAGGACACAUGCUAAUAAGACUAUCACCAGCAAAGAAUUUUCUGAGCAAAUGUGUACUGGAGACCUUCUGAGGAACCCACUAGAGCCUGCACAUCCCCUUUUCCUAGCAAGGUCAACUGGAAAACAGAAAUUCAGCAAGGUUAAGUGACUUGCCCAAAAUCAGAGCUGAAACUCUAUUUCUCUUCCUCCAAAUCCAGUGUUCUUUCCAAGAUAACGUGCAACUUUCCUUUGGAAUGAUCAGCAGAAUGUCAAAUAAGGAAAGGACAUGUAGAGUUCAUGGGAGGAGACAUUACUUCUGGCUGCAGAAUUAUGGAGGCUUUAUGGGAGACGCCGUAUAUUUUAUCUGUGCGCCUUGAUCACGUGUCUGACCAUGGACAGAGAAACCAGCCUAAUGAGCCUUCUUUACAGGAAGCCCCAAGCUGUUUUCCAAAGUGGUUGUACCAUUUUACAUUCUCACCAGCAAUGUACCAGGGUCUUACUGCCUAUUAGAGCAAAGGAAGAGGAAAUCUUUGGCUAACCGGUCAGAGAAAACAACUGGAUUAAACAAGAUACUCUUCAUGACUGUGGUUGCAAAAAUGCAACACAACUUUUAAAAAUCUUAGUACUAAUUUUUAAAAAUGGCUUUUAAUUUGGGGGAGACUCGAUAACAGAACCCGAAAAUCUGAUGAAUUGUAUGAACAUUUUGUUCAGAAAAAUAAACAUAUAUUACCAGAAAAUUUCAUAUGUGAUUCAAGAAGUCCACAGAAGUUCCAUGUUGUAAGUAAUUAGAAAAUAAGAAUUCUGAAUUGUUAAAAUAAAAUUUAAUGUUCAACAUCAUUCAUCCAGGAAGUGGAAUUUUCCCUCUGUUAAUCAUAGAAAGAAAUGCUCUCAAAUUUAGGUGGAAAUAAAAUAUUUGUUGUUGGAAAUGUAUAUACUUCUGCUGCUUUUAAAAUUCCAGGCUUCAUCCAUAUUCAAAAUGCAAAAUAUUAUUAAAAUAAUCAGAGCUUUGACUUUGGAAAAGUCUGAAAUUGCACCUUGGCAACACUGGAUCUACUCCUGUCACUCCCCAAGUGGUGGUCCUUAAGUGUUAGUGUGCUUGAGAAUUAACUACAGAGAUUGUCUAAAAUUACCAGUUUCUAGGAUGAGCCCACCAAUCUGUGUUUUAACAGGAGCUCCAGAAAAU
rnacentral:lncRNA from 10 species